GAUUUGGGAACGCUGAGUAGAUUACUCGGAGUUUCUCGCAAGCUAUAUGUGUGUGUGUGUGUGUGUGUGUAUGCGUGUGUGUGCGCGCGCGCGCGUAAAACUUGAACGGCAAAAAUCCCGUUUGAAUUCAUUGUGUUCUUACAAUAAAAUCUCUACACCCCACCCUCAAAGGGAAAUGGAAUCCAUUUGGUGUUAAACAAUACAGGCAUUGUCUAUUUAAUAUGAUAUGAAUGAUGACAGGGUGGCCGAUCGAUGAACCGUUAGCACGCCGGGCAAAAUUUUUAGCGGUAUUUCGUCUGUCUUCACGAUUUGAGGUCAAAUUCUGCCGAGGUACAUUUUUCUUUCAUCCUUUCGGGGUCGUUAAAGUAAGCACCAGUUGAAUUUUCGUGUCGACGUAAUUGACUUAUCCCCACCCUGGACAUUCUGGCUCCACUUCUCCUCAGUUUAUUUCUGCCCGUUCUUUUUCACGGUCUGCUUGAUCCGUUUUGCUUUCUUCGUGGCAGUCGUUUCAGGUUCUGUUUUUUUAUUUCCCAUGCGGGCUAACAUAGAGGUGACAGUCGUUUCAGGUUCUUCAUCUAAUUCAGGGUUAAUCCUAAGUUCCCUUCCGAAAUUGCAAGCUUCCUUGACAAUAGAUGUAAGCUUUUUGUUGCUUUCGUGCUUGCACACAAGCCGCAACAUCCAGCCCUCUCUACUAGAUAAGGACCUGUUCAUUGCUAUUGUGGAGGUCCUAUAACACAUUUCUACCUGCAUCAUUUCUCUUCCCCUAUUACUUCUAAAUAGGUACAGACGAUCAACGUCCGCUUUUGUGUGGUGCAUGUUCUUAGAUGUUAGUAGUUUUUUUGUCUUCCUGUCCAGGCGUUGGCUGUUAAAACUAUAUUGGACUACUGGAAGUGCCAGGGAUUUUAAUUCAUAGUAGCAUGUUGCAUACCAUCUCCUUCGUUUAUCCCCAGGUAUUCGUAAUCUUCCUGUGGGUCAGGCUCCUUGGUGGUAGUGUCGGUAUCUAAUUUAAUGGAAGCUGUUUUCCUGAGCUUGCCUCUUACAAAAGUUGCUUUAGUACACUUAUCAAGACCAAAAUCUAUCCCAAUGUCGUUGCUGAACUCUCUAACAGUUGUUAACAGCCCUGCUAGCUCUUCGUCAUUCCUAGGAAACAGCUUCAAAUCGUCCAUAUAAAACAAAUGGUUUAUUGUAGUAUUACAAACUCUGAACCCAUACCUGGCGUUAUUUAGUUCGUUUGAGAGUGGAAUUAAUGCCAUGCAAAAGAUUAAUGGGGAUAGGGACUCACCUUGAAAGAUACCUCAUUUAAUGUUGAUGUUGUUAAUUUGGCUCAUCCCAUCACUAUGGUUUAAAAGGAGAUGCAUGUUCCACUUGACUAUGCUACCUUUUAAGAAUUUGGAGACGACAGGAGAGAUCUUAUAUAUCUCAAGGGCCUUGAGUAUCCAAUUAUGUGGGACACUAUCAAACGCUUUCCUGUAGUCUAUCCAUGCCAUACUUUCUUUUAGCUCCGGCAAUUCUCUACAAUCAUUUUACCUAUGAAUAAUUGAUCUUUGCACACAUAACAAUUCCUUUUACAGCCUCUUUGAACUUGUCGAAGGAUAGAUUCCUGUUGAAGGAAAGCGUAUAUUCUGUCAGUUAACAUGGAUGUAAGGAUCUUCUUGCUUUGGUGGGUACACUCAAUGUGCCACCUAGGCCAGAAGGGGCGAAUGUGACAUCAAUCCUUACAUGCGUCUAUACUGUCGACUUUCUUGCUCUGACUGUCGCUAAAUAGGUA